UGGAUCGAUGAGGAUAAAUGCCAGGGUGUGAGUCAUCAAUGACGACUACUACGUGUCUGGAACUCUGAGGUCAAA